GCGUAAUUUCUGCCCGGAUCGGGCUAGCGGGAUGGGUGUAUAAACAAAGUCAAAUUCUUCCAGGCACACACUUCAUGCAAAGAACACAAUCUCUCCUAAAAUAAAAAUGGCGCAACAUGAAUCAUCAGCCAAAGCAGGAUUUCUGGAAUUAGUCCCAUUUUUUGUCGUCCUUCUCAUGGCUGCUCAUCUAAUAGCUUUGGUAUACUGGAUGUUCAGAUUAGCUACUGAGAAGCAGCAACCAUUUUCUGGAAGAUCCAAACAACACUGAUUCUACCUCUCUCUGCAAUUCUGCAUUCUCUACCUUAUUUGACUGUAUAUGCGGUGCUUGCUGCACACAACAGAUGAAAUGUGACGAAGAUAGAGAUAAUGUCAACCUGGAAGUUUCCUUCAGAGAAUCAUUGUUUUUCUUGGUUAUUGCUAUUAGGGUGCGCGAUGGUUUUGAACUGGAAUGCUAAUGUUUCUGUUUGAAUGGAUCUGGAAACAUAUGUAUUGCUCAACAUUCCAAAUGAACAUAACACCAUUUUUACCAUAUACACCACUGUUAUGGACCAACUGUAAGUUGGCCUGAAAUAUACUCAACAUUUUUCUCCGAUAUACUACCUCCGUUUCACAA